rnacentral:rRNA from 1 species
ACCUGAAACCGUGUACGUACAAGCAGUGGGAGCCUCUUUAUGGGGUGACUGCGUACCUUUUGUAUAAUGGGUCAGCGACUUAUAUUCUGUAGCAAGGUUAACCGAAUAGGGGAGCCGAAGGGAAACCGAGUCUUAACUGGGCGUUAAGUUGCAGGGUAUAGACCCGAAACCCGGUGAUCUAGCCAUGGGCAGGUUGAAGGUUGGGUAACACUAACUGGAGGACCGAACCGACUAAUGUUGAAAAAUUAGCGGAUGACUUGUGGCUGGGGGUGAAAGGCCAAUCAAACCGGGAGAUAGCUGGUUCUCCCCGAAAGCUAUUUAGGUAGCGCCUCGUGAAUUCAUCUCCGGGGGUAGAGCACUGUUUCGGCAAGGGGGUCAUCCCGACUUACCAACCCGAUGCAAACUGCGAAUACCGGAGAAUGUUAUCACGGGAGACACACGGCGGGUGCUAACGUCCGUCGUGAAGAGGGAAACAACCCAGACCGCCAGCUAAGGUCCCAAAGUCAUGGUUAAGUGGGAAACGAUGUGGGAAGGCCCAGACAGCCAGGAUGUUGGCUUAGAAGCAGCCAUCAUUUAAAGAAAGCGUAAUAGCUCACUGGUCGAGUCGGCCUGCGCGGAAGAUGUAACGGGGCUAAACCAUGCACCGAAGCUGCGGCAGCGACACUAUGUGUUGUUGGGUAGGGGAGCGUUCUGUAAGCCUGUGAAGGUGGCCUGUGAGGGUUGCUGGAGGUAUCAGAAGUGCGAAUGCUGACAUAAGUAACGAUAAAGCGGGUGAAAAGCCCGCUCGCCGGAAGACCAAGGGUUCCUGUCCAACGUUAAUCGGGGCAGGGUGAGUCGACCCCUAAGGCGAGGCCGAAAGGCGUAGUCGAUGGGAAACAGGUUAAUAUUCCUGUACUUGGUGUUACUGCGAAGGGGGGACGGAGAAGGCUAUGUUGGCCGGGCGACGGUUGUCCCGGUUUAAGCGUGUAGGCUGGUUUUCCAGGCAAAUCCGGAAAACCAAGGCUGAGGCGUGAUGACGAGGCACUACGGUGCUGAAGCGACAAAUGCCCUGCUUCCAGGAAAAGCCUCUAAGCAUCAGGUAACAUCAAAUCGUACCCCAAACCGACACAGGUGGUCAGGUAGAGAAUACCAAGGCGCUUGAGAGAACUCGGGUGAAGGAACUAGGCAAAAUGGUGCCGUAACUUCGGGAGAAGGCACGCUGAUAUGUAGGUGAAGCGACUUGCUCGUGGAGCUGAAAUCAGUCGAAGAUACCAGCUGGCUGCAACUGUUUAUUAAAAACACAGCACUGUGCAAACACGAAAGUGGACGUAUACGGUGUGACGCCUGCCCGGUGCCGGAAGGUUAAUUGAUGGGGUUAGCGGUAACGCGAAGCUCUUGAUCGAAGCCCCGGUAAACGGCGGCCGUAACUAUAACGGUCCUAAGGUAGCGAAAUUCCUUGUCGGGUAAGUUCCGACCUGCACGAAUGGCGUAAUGAUGGCCAGGCUGUCUCCACCCGAGACUCAGUGAAAUUGAACUCGCUGUGAAGAUGCAGUGUACCCGCGGCAAGACGGAAAGACCCCGUGAACCUUUACUAUAGCUUGACACUGAACAUUGAGCCUUGAUGUGUAGGAUAGGUGGGAGGCUUUGAAGUGUGGACGCCAGUCUGCAUGGAGCCGACCUUGAAAUACCACCCUUUAAUGUUUGAUGUUCUAACGUUGGCCCGUAAUCCGGGUUGCGGACAGUGUCUGGUGGGUAGUUUGACUGGGGCGGUCUCCUCCUAAAGAGUAACGGAGGAGCACGAAGGUUGGCUAAUCCUGGUCGGACAUCAGGAGGUUAGUGCAAUGGCAUAAGCCAGCUUGACUGCGAGCGUGACGGCGCGAGCAGGUGCGAAAGCAGGUCAUAGUGAUCCGGUGGUUCUGAAUGGAAGGGCCAUCGCUCAACGGAUAAAAGGUACUCCGGGGAUAACAGGCUGAUACCGCCCAAGAGUUCAUAUCGACGGCGGUGUUUGGCACCUCGAUGUCGGCUCAUCACAUCCUGGGGCUGAAGUAGGUCCCAAGGGUAUGGCUGUUCGCCAUUUAAAGUGGUACGCGAGCUGGGUUUAGAACGUCGUGAGACAGUUCGGUCCCUAUCUGCCGUGGGCGCUGGAGAACUGAGGGGGGCUGCUCCUAGUACGAGAGGACCGGAGUGGACGCAUCACUGGUGUUCGGGUUGUCAUGCCAAUGGCACUGCCCGGUAGCUAAAUGCGGAAGAGAUAAGUGCUGAAAGCAUCUAAGCACGAAACUUGC